GCGCCGUUGAAAAAGCUUAUUAGGAGUUGGCUGUUCACUUUCUCUGGGCCCCGUUUAUGAAAGCUUUCUGCAACAGGGCCUGGCUCUCCACCUGGGACUGCAGGUCCGACUUGCAUCACCUUUGCGGGCCGCCAGACAUAGGUGACGAAUCCCACCACCACACUGCGCCAGUGGCUCCUCUCACCUUUUGCUCCUCCCUCUCCCUGGCGAUGUGGCACCUCUCGAUCUUCCAGUGACGGAGAAAGUCGCGGAGGUAGCCAAAGAUGGUCAGGAUGCCGUAGCCCAUGUAGGUGAGCACUGCCACCAGCAUGGGCGUCUCCUCGAAAGACUCGAUGAAGGGCCUGCUGUACAGGCUGCCAUGAUGUGUUGCUGCAUGGACCUGGGCAACAUGGAAACCAGAAAUUCUACUGUACUGAAACUGAAUUGUGAA